GAUGAACGCGGCGGCGUGCCUAAUACAUGCAAGUCGAGCGAGAAGCUUGGAAAUGACGCUUCGGUUGAUUUUCCAAGCGGACAGCGGCGGACGGGUGAGUAACGCGUAGGCAACCUGCCCCUGACAGAGGGAUAGCCAUUGGAAACGAUGAUUAAAACCUCAUGACACCGUAGUAGCACAUGCUACAUCGGUCAAAGAUUUAUCGGUCAGGGAUGGGCCUGCGUCUGAUUAACUGGUUGGUGAGGUAACGGCUCACCAAGGUGACGAUCAGUAGCCGACCUGAGAGGGUGAUCGGCCACAUUGGAACUGAGACACGGUCCAAACUUCUACGGAAGGCAGCAGUAGGGAAUCUUGCACAAUGGGCGAAAGCCUGAUGCAGCAACGCCGCGUGAAGGAUGAAGGCCUUCGGGUUGUAAACUUUCUGUUUUAAAGGGAAAGAAAAGAAAUUGAACGGUAACCUUAGG
rnacentral:rRNA from 1 species